UAGUAACCUGAAGGCAGUGGACAGGUAACACAGCUUCCUCUAUAUAGUAACCUGAAGGCAGUGGACAGGUGAAACUAACAGCUUCCUGUCUAUCGUGACAUAAAGGUAGUGGAGAGGAGAAACUAACAGCUUCCUGUCUAUCGUGACAUAAAAGCAGUGGAGAGGAGAACGUUUAAAUUAAGGCCAGCUGGGUUGACCAGGAGAGGAAGCCACAGUCGACUUUCUCAAUUCCUCCUCUAGGCUUCAUGGCACAGCUCCACAUCAAAACACGGUCCAUGGUAUCUUUCCCAGCUCCCUUAGCCCCUUCACCCCUAGGCAUUAGUGGAUUGGAUACGGUCAACAACGUAGACACAUUUCCACCUAGCCCAUCAGGGUUGUAUUCAUUAAUAAACACCGUAACAAAAUGUAUUGCAAUAGAAGAUUGAAAAAA